GAUGAACGCUGGCGGCGUGCCUAAUACAUGCAAGUCGAGCGAAGCGGGGACGGGUGAGUAACACGUGGAUAACCUCCUAUAAGACUGGGAAAACUUCGGGAAACCGGAGCUAAACCGGAUACUUAUACCUGGAUCCGCGCUGCAUUAGCUAGUUGGUAAGGUAACGGCUUACCAAGGCAACGAUGCAUAGCCGACCUGAGAGGUUGAUCGGCCACACUGGAACUGAGACACGGUCCAGACUCCUACGGGAGGCAGCAGUAGGGAAUCUUCCGCAAUGGGCGAAAGCCUGACGGAGCAACGCCGCGUGAGUGAAGAAGGCCUUCGGAUCGUAAAGCUCUGUUAGUAGGGAGGCGGUACCUACUCAGGAAGCCACGGCUAACUCCGUGCCAGCAGCCGCGGUAAUUC
rnacentral:rRNA from 1 species